rnacentral:rRNA from 1 species
AGUGAACGCUGGCGGUAGGCCUAACACAUGCCAGUCGAACGGCAGCACAGUAAGAGCUUGCUCUUACGGGUGGCGAGUGGCGGACGGGUGAGGAAUACAUCGGAAUCUACUUUUUCGUGGGGGAUAACGUAGUGAAACUUACGCUAAUACCGCAUACGACCUACGGGUGAAAGCAGGGGAUCUUCGGACCUUGCGCGAUUGAAUGAGCCGAUGUCGGAUUAGCUAGUUGGCGGGGUAAAGGCCCACCAAGGCGACGAUCCGUAGCUGGUCUGAGAGGAUGAUCAGCCACACUGGAACUGAGACACGGUCCAGACUCCUACGGGAGGCAGCAGUGGGGAAUAUUGGACAAUGGGCGCAAGCCUGAUCCAGCCAUACCGCGUGGGUGAAGAAGGCCUUCGGGUUGUAAAGCCCUUUUGUUGGGAAAGAAAAGCAGCAGGUUAAUACCCCGCUGUUCUGACGGUACCCAAAGAAUAAGCACCGGCUAACUUCGUG